UGCGUGGUGUAGCGGUGAAAUGCAUAGAUAUCACGCAGAAUUCCGAUUGCGAAGGCAGCUUACUAAACCAUAACUGACAUUGAAGCACGAAAGCGUGGGGAUCAAACAGGAUUAGAUACCCUGGUAGUCCACGCAGUAAACGAUGAUUACUAGGAGUUUGCGAUACAAUGUAAGCUCUACAGCGAAAGCGUUAAGUAAUCCACCUGGGGAGUACGCCGGCAACGGUGAAACUCAAAGGAAUUGACGGGGGCCCGCACAAGCGGAGGAACAUGUGGUUUAAUUCGAUGAUACGCGAGGAACCUUACCCGGGUUUGAACGUAGUCUGACCGGAGUGGAAACACUCUUUCUAGCAAUAGCAGAUUACGAGGUGCUGCAUGGUCGUCGUCAGCUCGUGCCGUGAGGUGUCGGCUCAAGUGCCAUAACGAGCGCAACCCUUAUCACUAGUUACUAACAGGUGAAGCUGAGGACUCUGGUGAGACUGCCAUUGUAAGUGGUGAGGAAGGCGGGGACGACGUCAAAUCAGCACGGCCCUUACAUCCGGGGCGACACACGUGUUACAAUGGCAUGGACAAAGGGCAGCUACCUGGUGACAGGAUGUUUAUCUCCAAACCAUGUCUCAGUUCGGAUCGGAGUCUGCAACUCGACUCCGUGAAGCGGGAUUCGCUAGUAAUCGCGCAUCAGCCAUGGCGCGGUGAAUACGUUCCCGGGCCUUGUACACACCGCCC
rnacentral:rRNA from 1 species